GAGCGCAGGUGGCAAGGGGGCGGGGCCACAGCACCCCCCUAGACGGCGUUGUCCCCCGGCCCCAGCGACCCCGGCGGCGAUCCUUUAGAAAAGCCAGGGCCCCAAAAUGCCCCCCUCCGGGGGCCCCUUCCCACAGGGCCGGUGCUGCAUGGUGGCAACACAGAGUGACUGGAGCAGACCUGACUCCCACCAGCCCUGGGCUCGUAGUUUAAUGGGGAAGAUCCUCAACGCAUCCCUUUUCCAAAGAAGGAGAAGUUGAGAACAGAACGCCCCAUUUUUCUGAUGAGGAGACUGAGGCACAGAGAAGUUAAAGGACAAGGUUCUGGACUUUCCUGGUGGAGCAGUGGUUAGGAAUCUGCCUGCCAAUGCAGGGGACAUGGGUUUGAUGCCUGGUCUGGGAAGAUCCCACAUGCCGCGGAGCAACUAAGCCCGUGCGCCACAACUACUGAGCCUGCGCUCUAGCGCCCUCGAGCCACAACUACUGAGCCCACGUGCCACAACUACUGAAGCCCAUGCGCCUAAAGCCCGUGCUCUGCAACAAGAGAAGCCACCGCAAUGAGAAGCCUGUGCACCGCAAUGAAGGGUAGCUCCUGCUCGCCACAACUAGAGAAAGCCCGCACGCAGCAAAGAAGACCCAACGCGGCCAAAAAUAAAUAAAUUUUUAAAAUAAAUAAAUAAAUAAAAUUUUA